rnacentral:rRNA from 1 species
UGGGGAAUAUUGCACAAUGGGCGAAAGCCUGAUGCAGCAACGCCGCGUGGGUGAUGAAGGUUUUCGGAUCGUAAAGCCCUGUCUUUUGGGACGAUAAUGACGGUACCAAAGGAGGAAGCCACGGCUAACUACGUGCCAGCAGCCGCGGUAAUACGUAGGUGGCAAGCGUUGUCCGGAUUUACUGGGCGUAAAGGGAGCGUAGGCGGACCUUUAAGUGAGAUGUGAAAUACCCGAGCUCAACUUGGGUGCUGCAUUUCAAACUGGAGGUCUAGAGUGUCGGAGAGGUAAGUGGAAUUCCUAGUGUAGCGGUGAAAUGCGUAGAGAUUAGGAAGAACCCCGGUGGCGAAGGCGACUUACUGGACGAUAACUGACGCUGAGGCUCGAAAGCGUGGGGAGCAAACAGGA